UGACCAAUCGUUCCCAUGGUUCUUUUAGACUUCUAGUAUGAUAAAUUGAAAGGCACUAUUAUCUGCCUGUUGUGAAGAGGAACUGCUUAGGCUUUGAUAAGAUAUCACUAGUCCCAGGUGAGAGGAGGCUGACAGCACAUCAAGACAAGAAAACACAUGGAAACAGUGAACACAGGAGCAAAAGGAAGAAGCACAAGUACAGAGGGGGAAGGGACUCUUUACAUAGUAUCAGGAAUAAAGUAUUUCAUGUAUAGAUGCUGGGGAGAAGAAGCUGCACUCUGCAUAUGAGAAACUGAUGGGCAAACAAGUGGAUGUGAUUGGAAAACAGCAGGGGAGUUUUGCCUACACAGACUGUAAAUGAAGAACAGGCAGGACUGUGGGAAAGCAUCUGAUCCUGAGCAGCUCCUUACUCGCUGCCUCACCCAGUGAGGAAUACUGACAGAGUCCAGUGUUCCAGUUCUGCACCUAUUAAAAUAUGCAGCCCUUUGCAGUAGCCAACACAUGCUUAACGAAC